rnacentral:lncRNA from 1 species
ACGACCGGUCUCUAUAACUUAUAUACUCAUGUCAUCUAGAUUUUUAAACUGUUAAGAUGCAGAUUUAGACAAAAAAAAGAUUAACAGGUUCUAGAAUUUGGAUGCACAUUUUUAAGAGUUUAAGGACAUAAGUUAGCGCAUAAGUUUAGAGACCACCGAUGCACUUUACUCUCCAAUAACACCGUGAACAAAUCAAACUAUAUAUCUCUACUAUUAUAAAAAUUGAAGAUGUUUUUCCUGGUAUUUUGGUACGCUAUCCGUGUUUGAGUCAUCGUUCGCUUUUGGAAAUACAGAUCCAUGCUUGACUUGGAUCUUAGCUCGUUUACUUUUGGAAAUAAAAAAGAGUCGUAUAAAAAAUCCCUUUUAAAAAAACUCCAUAUACUAACUUGAGAUGAAAGUUGGACUCUUAAUUGCAACUCAUGAUUAUCUAAAGAAAUCCAAACGAAUUCCCACAGUAAAUUUUAAUCUAGUUAAACUAUCUAAUAAUAAUAAGAUUAAAAUACUUGUUGCAAGUUGCAACGCACAGGUAUUUUUCUAGUGUAUAUAUACUAUGGCUGAGAUCGAUCUGGCCUGCCCCCAAUUCCUCACGUCUCGCCUGCUAUCUUGCCUGUAAAUUAAUGCAUAAGUAGAAAACAUGUUCGUUUGGUCCGUCUCUCUUGCAAUACAAAAGAGGAAACAGGCAGAACUUUUGCAGUACUAGCUACAGCAACAAGUCAAGAGACAGUUGAGCAGUGAGACCAAAUGGCUUUGUAUUUGGAAAUUGGAAUCUUACUGGGAGAAGAGAGAUUUAAUUAGCUCAGGGAGGGAUGGAACGGUGGCCUCCGGGAAAAAUAUAAUACAUCGGCUGUCAGCAGAAAAUUAAUUAGAAACAGUAACACAGGCUUCAAAAGAUACGUUCACUAGCUACUAGUUUUGUCCAUUUAAAUUGAAUGAUGAUGAGAAUCUUGCAGAGAGGCCUUGACUCCAAGUCUAUACUGGCAUAUGUAUAUAUACGAUACGUACUGCAGUUUACACGUACCGACGUACGUGCUUGGGAGUCAAACUUCACAAAUCAUAUAUACAUUCCUCCAUGAAGACUUGGAGGCUUGAAUUCACAGCAGAGGGCCGUACAGACUGGAAUGUAGUGAAAUUUAUUGAUGUUUGUUCACACGAGGUCAAAGUCUUUUUUGAAUUAACUCUGAACUUGCAUCAACUAAUUAAAAGGGUUCAACUUUGGUGAUACUAAUCUAGCUAGCUGCGAUUUAACAAAAUCCACUCAAAAAUAUAAUCCACAGAGAUUAAUUAUGACACUAAUUAAGAUGAGCUCUAUGGUGCAUCUAUCUCAUUUUGUCAUUACUAGCUAGAUGAGGAGCAUCAUAUUUAUGGCAACAUAUCCUAUGCACACAGGCCCUCACGUGUACACACGUGCACACCAAAUAAAAAAUAUCACCAAAAAAUCUAGAAAAAAUCAUACACAUACUUUCAAUUGUAUUACACCUAGGGUUAAAAUCUUAACGUCAAAUUCAUUAUAUUUUAGCCGUAACAAAAAAAACAAAAAAUCUGAUAGUUUUAAGAUUGCAAUUUUGUCAGAAUUUUAUCUUUUUUGUUAUUCUCUAUGUAGAAUGAAUUUGAAGAUGCGACUUUGCACGUAAAUGUAAUACUAUUGAAAGUACAUGUAUGAAUUUUCCUAGAAUUUUUUGUGAUAAUUUUUAGUAGGUGUACACGGUGUGUACAUGCGAGGGCAUGUGUGAAUAGGAUACGCUCCCCAUAUUUAUAUAUAUGAACAAAUAAAACUGAAAAGGUUGUGAACACUAAUAUUACCUCCGUUUUAAAUUUUAGAUUUGUUCUAAUUCAAAUAUUUUUAACUUUAACCAUCAAAUUACAUAAAUUCAUAUAAUUUUAAUAACAUGUAAAUUAUAUAUUAUGAAAGUAUGUAUUUAUCAUGAUAAAUCUAAAACAUAAAUUUUAUCUUGUUCAACUAUACAUAUUUUCAAAAACUGAGAGUCAAAGUUAGCAAUGUUUGACUAAUAAGCCAUUGUUUAGUUCCCAACUUUUUCUUCAAACUUUCAACUUUUCCAUCACAUCAAAACUUUUCGCUUCUAACUUUUUCUUCAAACUUUUCAAUUUUAGUCAAACUUUCAAUUUUAGCGUGGAACUAAACACACCCUAAUUAAUAGGAUAAAGCUAAAACAAUAUAAGUAUUUUUGAAACGGAUCGGAGGGGGUAUUAAGGUAGGUCAUUAGGGAUGGCAAUCGGGCGCGACGGGCACGGGUAGUGCCUACCCAUACCCAUGCCCGUGAGAUUAUUUGUGCCCGUGGGUAUACCCAUUACUACAUGACGGGUAAGAAUGGUUGCCCAUGCCCAUUGCCCGCGGGCGCCUUAUGCCCGCGGGCGUGCCCGUUUACCCGCCACAACAAAAGCAGUGGAACAAAAAGUCUACAAGCUACUAAGUUCGAAUCGAACUUAAAACAUCAAAUAUUCUCCGCCUCGGUGUCGUAUCUCUCCUCUGGCGGCGAUAGAG